rnacentral:rRNA from 1 species
AGCGAACGCUGGCGGCAGGCCUAACACAUGCAAGUCGAACGAACUCUUCGGAGUUAGUGGCGGACGGGUGAGUAACACGUGGGAACGUGCCUUUAGGUUCGGAAUAACUCAGGGAAACUUGUGCUAAUACCGAAUGUGCCCUUCGGGGGAAAGAUUUAUCGCCUUUAGAGCGGCCCGCGUCUGAUUAGCUAGUUGGUAGU